rnacentral:rRNA from 1 species
GUGCCAGCAGCCGCGGUAAGACAGAGGUGCCGAGCGUUAGGCGGAAUCACUGGGCUUAAAGCGUGUGUAGGCGGACUGUUAAGUACCUUGUGAAAUCCCACGGCUCAACCGUGGAACUGCUCGGUAUACUGGCGGUCUUGAGCCACUUAGGGGUCGUCGGAACAAGCGGUGGAGCGGUGAAAUGCGUAGAUAUCGCUUGGAACGCCAACGGUGAAAACAGACGACUGGGAGUGCGCUGACGCUGAGACACGAAAGCCAGGGGAGCGAACGGGAUUAGAAACCCCUGUAGUCC